rnacentral:lncRNA from 1 species
AGGUUAGGAUGGAUGACUUUUUGUAAAUUAAAACCUGAGAACUGUACUGUUUCAAAGAAAAUUAUACCUCCAUAUAAAAAUUACUCAUUCAAAACUAUAUUAUAGUUUUUUUAAUUUGAAUGCUGACAUUUUUCAAAGUAGGGCCGAACAAAAUUAAUUGUGCGUUUCCUAGAUUAGGAUUUUAAGUGUGUAGGUCUACAUCAAGCUUUAUAAAAGUGAGUUUAAAUUAAAAAAAUAAUGAUAAAAAAAUUCCCUAUUCCUUAAUCCUGGGAACAUUUCAUAAAAAAUCAAAAUAUCUCCCCCCUCCCCUUUUCAGUUUUUUUAGCUUGGCGUAACAGAAUAUAAGUGUUGUCCUAGUUUGUUUAUGAAUAAAAUAUAGAUCUAUAUGUUUAUUGACAGUGCAAUACGCAUUGCUAAGGGUAACAUUUUGCUUUAUUGUAAAUUAAUGAAUGUACUUAUUGGUCUCAUUAGAAUGGUGAGAGGUGUAGGCGAUGGGAGGCAGCUGAAAAAAGGUGACCAAGACUACAUCGAACAGGAACGAAAGCGAAAAGCUGAUUAUAGGGGUCGGAUGAAUCCUGAACAAGUUGACAGGUGGAUGAUUGGCCAUGGGUGACUUUUUUCACUAAAGUGAAACAAAGAUGGCUGGCAAAGGACAUCCACCACACUGUCAUGUUCGAAGACGUCAGAAUAGCAAUUGAUUGGACAUUAUUUGAGGAGAUGACUAACGCCCUGUCCACCUUUAGAAUGGACUACGAGAUCAAGAACCAAGAGGACACCAAUAACCAGUUUCUGAAUAAACAUAAAAAGGAGUAUGGCAAAAAUGAUUUUGGUCAU